CAUGGCGACUACCGACCGCGGCAGCCCGCCCCGGCCACAGGCUCCCCUCCGGCGCGGCGGGGGAGGGGGAGGGGACGGCCGCGGCAGCGCGCUUUGUCGCAAGGCUCCAGCCCUGCGCGUGCGCCCUGGAGCCGGGACCCGGGCGCCGAGGGGCGUGGCCGCCCUCUCCGGGGACCCGCGAGGUCGAGGGCAGUUGGAGGGGGCGGGGCGAGCGCGUUCCCGGCGGCCCGCGGGGCCUGGCCUUGGGUCUCCUAACAAGGGUCCUUCGUCACCUCGGAUCCGGGCGCUGGGCGGGGACCCAGGGGACCAACAGACGAGCAGAGGAUUCCUCCAUUACACGUCCGUGGAAAGGUCUUCUUUGUGUACCCAGACCAGGCUCCCAGCAGCAGGAAUGUGAACUCAUUCUGGGUUGAGCAGAAAAUCCUGUAUUCAGAUGCAAUGCACUAUUUGACUUUAGAGUUCAUGUGUAUAAAUGGCUCCCUACAAGUAAACACCUCACAUUUCCAUAGAAUCUAAAGAAUGCACUCCUCAGGAGGAGGAAUGUAAUCCCAUUCCUCAGAGGGACCUUCUCCACAGAUUUUCCCACACAUCUCUCAGACCUGGAUUUAUAAAACAGGAGGAGCAGAAUGUUCUCUCUGAAGUCUCAGCUGUGGUUGGAGUCCAGGUCACACUCUUAUGGGCUCUUUUCAGCUCCUGAAACUGUCCCUGAACCAUCUCCCAUGAAGCCCAAAUCCGUGCCUCACAAGCUAUUCAUCAAGUUGACUCUGGAACAUGCAAAGGCUGUCCUCAGCCAAUGACUUCUGAACAAGUGC